AGAAGCCAAGUCACACAGGGCAUGAGCAGCUUCAGAAAUAACCACCAUUCAGGUUUGUUUACUGCAAGGAGCUCUCGAAGGAAACCAUCAAAUUAAGGAAAAUAAAGUUGAGAUGCUGGAGUGGAGCACAGACAAGCAACAGGGAGAUGAGAUUUUCAUCACUGCAAUGUCUUCUACAGGUUUUCCUUUGCCUCUGUACCUGCAGGAAGAAAAUCUCUUGGCAAGCAUCGGGUUAUGGACUUUGUUUCCAUUUGGACCAUUCUGCUUCCUGCUGAAAAUGAGCAACUGACUGCACUGGAAACUUUCUGCAAUUUGCUCAGGUUCAUAAUUUUCAAGGAGAGAGAAGAUUUUAAAGAUGUGAAAUAACUAUUUGUGGGUCUCUAAGUUUACUUGAGUGUCUGAAGUUAUUCCAUAAUAUACCAGUGGGGUAUCAUGCUGAUUCAUAUUUCUGCAUUCUCUGUGUUCAGUCUCAUAGAGUGCCUUGUUAGGAGCAAGAGCAGGAGAAAGGACAAGCAUUCAGACAGGUUUCCCUGAAUAAUGCUCAUGGUUCAUCCUUUGGAUUCAAGCAGUUGGCUUAAAAAAAAAUAGGUUUUUUAGAGAGAAGGAAAAACUGAAUGCAGCGGGAGUGUCUUCCAUACAUACUCCUGAAGGCCGAUAAAAUCUAAUCUUCUUGAACACAAAAAAACCAAAUAGUAGGAGAUCCCUCCUUUGCCUAUGCUUCCAGCCCACAUCUUGAACUCUGACUAACAGCUUGGAUGCCUGCUGGAUUCUGAGCAACAGAACCUGCCCCGUGUGACACCCAGUGUUUUCUCAGAAGUUAUUCUCCUCACUGUUAGUGGUCUUCAAUAGAAAACCUCUCAAAACAAAAGUAGGCAAAAAAUGCACCCAUCAGAAAUUGUGUGUGUUUGGUCCUGGAGCAGAAGAUCAGGAACAAAAGUUGGUUGAGCUUUUUACCUCUGACUUGACAGGGAAAAAUUAGAGGGCAUAUCAGAGAAAGCAGAGAUUAAUGAAGGAUUCCUAGAACAGUAGAGGACUUUAGAAACUCUUUUUAGGGGAACAGCACUAGUUCUUAAAAGAAAGGAAUGGCUCUGCUGCCAAGUGUUUCAGAGCAUUAAUUAUCCAUUUUUGCCAAGAGUUUGGAAACAGAACCAUGGAACAGUUUGGGUUGGAGAGACCUUUAAAGGUCAUGUAGUCCAAGCCCCCCACUGUAAGCAGAGACAUCUGUAAUUCCAACAGGUUGUUCAGACUCCUGUCCAAAUUCUCCCUUAACAUUUCCAGGGAUGAGGCUUCUGCCACUGCCAGAGACUCAGCUCUGGUAAAUCACUUGGGAAUCCUCUCACUCGCCUCAGCUCCUAUCCAGACCAGAUCUCAACAGAGAUUUUAAAAGAUUUCUUCAGAAAAGCAUCAGAAACAGUUUCAAUUCAGUGCUGGGAAAUGAGACACUCGGCACUAACAGAUUUAAUAUUCAUCUUGUCACAUACUAGGUUGCCCUACUGAUCUUUGAGCUGCUCACACAAAAAGCAUCCUAUCGAGUUUCUGCUGAAAUAUCUUGAAUGCUCAGCAGCACAACCAUGCAGAGGAAUAUACAUAACAGGAAAUUAUUUUUUCUCCAAAAUUUUGAUGCACUGUUUACAGAUAAAAUGGCAAAAUACAGUAAAUAUAUACCUAUGCACAUUCGAUUGUAUACUUAUAAAAAUAUUCAUCUUAUAAACACUUUAUUUGAAAUUUCUGAUUAUUAAAACAUAAAUUAAAUUUUGUUAUCUAUGUGUACUCAACUUUGUUAGAAAUGCUAUUAAAGCUUCAGGCUGUUUAAACAAUAAUACUCUGGAUAUCUAAAAAGCCUUCCAGGCUUCAUGAGGGCUUUUUUCAGGCUCUUCAUAGACAUUAAUUAAAGCUGUGAGAAACUCUGGGUUCUUGGUACUAUUUACACCUGUUUAAUACUGCCUCACGUGCUACAUCUUAGGUCAAACAGCAAAUCAGUAACAAAACCAGUGUCAGAACUGGAGUAUCAGAACUCCUGAGACCUGCCAGAGCUAUUGGACAUUGUCUUCCACCAGACUACACUAUCAGUUAUAGAAAAUAACUUUUGAUUGCUCAGAGAACCAUCCGAGUACAGUUACUAUUAACACUUAUCACAAAAAGCUGUGUAAGCAGACUGAAGGAAACUCCCCCCAAACUUGUAAAUGUGCUAUUGACAGGCAAUUUCAUUAAAUCUGGUUUCACUUUAUUUGGGUUAUAUAUUCCAUUUCAUAAAAACCUUAUCGUAAAGAUCUAAAUCUGUGAAGAAAGACAUUAAGCAAUUCUUUAUUAUCUCUGCUGGUCCAUUAAAAUAAAUCUCAUCUAUCCCUUCCCCUAUUAUUUCAGGGAGUGCAAGGGCUGAUGUAUUUUGGCAUAAUUGCUUUGGCAUCCCAGGUUUGUUCUGUCACUGCUGUUGUGCAAGUGCAUUUGAAGGAGUAAUCAUCUUUUUUCUGUAUGGCCCAUCACCAUGGUGUAUAAGCAAUAUACAGGCUGCAGAUUUUGUAAUAGGUAAAGUUUUCAAAAAUUUUAUUGGCAAUUUUUUUGAUAAAGACACAUGUCAGACUGCACCCAGCUUAUUCAUACACUGUAAGGAGUUCUCUGGCUUCCUAAUUUAUUAACAAUGGUCAUUUGUUACACUGACAACUUAGAAAAACAGAUCACUCAGAAGUCAUGAUGGGGUAAUUCUGCUUCUUGGAGCCUCUGCAAUGAAUCACCAUUUUCCCUCCCUCCCUUGACCUAAUUUCAAAAUCAUAUACCUGUGUAAAAUAUUGUGAUGAGAAUUGUGUCUAAUUAUCUUCUAAAUUUUUCUUUUAAUUGCUAGAAGGAUACCCAUUCUUGAAUAAGGGAGGUAUUAAUGAUGUAAUAGUGUUAGAGAGUCCUUGAAAUCUAGAUUAAUUAUUAGUUGUGUGGACUUCUGAGAGUUUUUGAUGUAUUCAUUUGCAUUCACAAAGAUGGCUUUUUAAUUAAAGAGAGUUUUUGAACUUAUACAAAUGAGCCUUUUGCACAUGUCCCCAGAAACGUGGAAAGUGUUAAAAGUGAGAAGAAUCGAAAUUUUCCUGAAACAUUACCUCCCGCUGCAAACACUGAAUGGCCAAAAGCAUUUGAAACUCCAGACCUCAUGUCAGCAGCUCCAGCAGAUCUCGAAGACCAAGCAGAAUUAUAAAAGCCUGAGCUUGUUUCAAAUACCACAGAAAUGGUUCUGUACAAAAGAACAAUGUCAGAAUAUCUGAUUUCCAUUUCAGCUUCCACCGCAGCAUAUGUUUCUACCUUUACCUGCAUGCUUAUUUUUUCCUCUUUAGAAAUUAGAUCCUCUUUCCCAAGGACUCCAAUGUUAAAUGUUUCCUCAUUGUAACUCUUAUGAUCCCUUGUUGCCACCUCAGACUUCUGGUUUUUCUUUCUUUUUCUUUGUUCGAGAUCAAGAGAACAAACCGAAAGCUCUGAGUCUCCAGGUCUGUUUCACAGAUUUAUAAAUGGUACCAUAUUUCCUGUAUUACAGCCAUUCAGUUCUUAAUGCAGCCUAACAUCUAAUUUACAAUUUUGACUGUUGCUACGUAUUGAAUUUGAGCAGAUGUCUUUACUGAGCUGUCCAUAGUGAUGCCUAAAUCAUUUUCCGAGAAGUUCACAGCAAAUUUGGAUUCCAGAGAAGUGAAUACAUAGUUUAAUUUGUACCUUUUAAAGUAAAUUAUUUUGUAAAGAAGUGGAUCUCAUGUUACAGAAUACUGUCUGAUUUCCUCAUUUUUGUGAGAUAUACCCAGAGCCACUCAUUCACCUCUGCCAAGGCUGGCUGCCUAAUUUCAGUUUUCAGCAUGAGCAUAAUACCAGCCCCUUAUCACAAUUGUGGUUCUAGUCCAGAACUGGGACUUUAAACCUCCUCCACGGUCCUGUCUCUUCCACAGUUCCCACUCACACACAAAACUGCAAUCCAGACUUACAGGUGUCCUUAUUUUGGUCUUGUGAUGACUUUUUAAAUCUGUAUCACGAAUAUCCACUGAUCUUCCCACAUCUCCUCUUGUUUAAGUCUUUGUAAGGGGGAAUAAAACAGAUUUAUUUGAA